rfam:Zootermopsis nevadensis contig3820, whole genome shotgun sequence.
AAAAAGGGUGUUUGCUGCUUUGAUAGCACGUAGAUCGUAAGGUCUAUGGGGUAUGGUGAUCAAGACAUACUCAACACAUAAUUUUUGUUUCUGAGGGGCAGUUGGCUGUCUAUAUGCACCAGCGCCCCC